GUAACUUUAAGAGAUGAAUUUCCGGUUUGUAAAACAGAAAUAUGUCUCUGCUAAUGUAGAGAUCGCGAUGCCACCCACUACACUAGCGAUGCGGCCCCCCUGGCCCCCUCAGCUGCUGUAAAGGUAAGCGAGGUGGGGUGGCAUUGGGGGGGCCAAAACGCCCCUGACUCCCCAACCCCACAAAUGCCAUGCUGCCCCUGUCUAACAUACCCCAAACUCCAAAGUAAGUAAGAUGCGACGCCCUGAGAGGGGAUGUUGGGAGUGUUAGUUGCACAACAGGAUUUCAGCUGGAGACAAGGCCCCACAAUCUGCUUGGUGCAUAAAAGAGGGAACGACACCUGGAUUCACAAAAGAAAGUGGAUUUUAUUCACCUGCAAUAGGAAAAUAUUCUCUGUGAGAAACUUAUUAAAGAGCUUUGUCUAUUUACAGUCACACAGUUUCCAUUUUCUUUUCCCUUUUUCAGUAAUUAUUACGGGAGUUUAUUUCUGUGAGACAAGAGACGUUGUUGCUGCCAUGGAACCAAACAGGACUGUCCUGCCUGUUACUGGGAUGUGAGACUUCAGUCAUGUGACCUUUAUGUGUUACAAUGGGUGCUACCACCUCGGGCACAGACGGGGGAGCACCCUGGCGACCCAGGCAAUCCCGGCAUGAGGAAACCAAUCCUGAAGGGCCCAUCACUGUUGGGGUCUGAAGUGCCUACCCUACCUGCCAGCUGACUGUGCUCCCAGCUUUCCUGGUUCCCUAGAAUAAACCUGAGAUUCUACUGUGAAAGUCACAAACAACCACAAGGUGGUGCUAGAGGGCUACCUACUGUCAGAGAAAUGCUUCACUACCUCUAACUACCACAAGGCGGGGACAGAGUACAGCCAAGUGCCAAAUAAUUAAUUCACUACUACUUCUGUUCUGCCUACUGUCAGAGAAAUGCUUCACUACCUCUAAUUACCACAAGGUGGGGACAGAGUACAGCCAAGUGCCAAAUAAUAAAUUCACUACUACUUCUUAAUGCCUUUAA